GUAGGACGCAAGCGUUAUCCGGAGUUACUGGGCGUAAAGCGCGGGAAGGCGGUCUCUUAAGUCUGAGGUGAAAGCGCCCGGCUCAACCGGGCGAGGCCCUUGGAAACUAGGGGACUGGAGGGCAGCAGAGGUGGGCGGAAUUCCGGGUGGAGUGGUGAAAUGCGUAGAGAUCCGGAGGAACACCAGAGGCGAAGGCGGCCCACUGGGCUGCGCCUGACGCUGCACCGCGAAAGCCAGGGGAGCGAACGGGAUUAGAAACCCCGGUAGUCCUGGCCGUAAACGAUGUUCACUGGGUGGCGGGGGGUUCCCCUUCGCUGCCGAAGCCAACGCGAUAAGUGAACCGCCUGGGGAGUACGGUCGCAAGGCUAAA
rnacentral:rRNA from 1 species